rnacentral:rRNA from 1 species
GACGAACGCUGGCGGCGUGCCUAAUACAUGCAAGUAGAACGCUGAAGAGGGGAGCUUGCUCUUCUUGGAUGAGUUGCGAACGGGUGAGUAACGCGUAGGUAACCUGCCUUGUAGCGGGGGAUAACUAUUGGAAACGAUAGCUAAUACCGCAUAACAGUGGAUGACACAUGUCAUUUAUUUGAAAGGGGCAAUUGCUCCACUACAAGAUGGACCUGCGUUGUAUUAGCUAGUAGGUGAGGUAACGGCUCACCUAGGCGACGAUACAUAGCCGACCUGAGAGGGUGAUCGGCCACACUGGGACUGAGACACGGCCCAGACUCCUACGGGAGGCAGCAGUAGGGAAUCUUCGGCAAUGGGGGCAACCCUGACCGAGCAACGCCGCGUGAGUGAAGAAGGUUUUCGGAUCGUAAAGCUCUGUUGUAAGUCAAGAACGAGUGUGAGAGUGGAAAGUUCACACUGUGACGGUAGCUUACCAGAAAGGGACGGCUAACUACGUG